GCUAGAUAUAUUGACCCAAACAUAUAAACUAAACUAAAACAAAACAUUUGACCCACCAAGUAGAUGUGAUCGAACAGUCAAAUUAACAAUACUAGUACCGCAA
rnacentral:rRNA from 1 species